rnacentral:rRNA from 1 species
UCCUCCGGGACGCAGCAGUGGGGAAUAUUGGACAAUGGGGGGAACCCUGAUCCAGCGACGCCGCGUGAGUGAAGAAGUAUUUCGGUAUGUAAAGCUCUAUCAGCAGGGAAGAAAGAAAUGACGGUACCUGACUAAGAAGCCCCGGCUAACUACGUGCCAGCAGCCGCGGUAAUACGUAGGGGGCAAGCGUUAUCCGGAUUUACUGGGUGUAAAGGGAGCGUAGACGGCGAUGCAAGGCUGAAGUGAAAGGCGGGGGCCCAGCCCCCGGACUGCCUCGGAAACUGUAUGGCUGGAGGGCAGGGGCG